rnacentral:rRNA from 1 species
GACGAACGCUGGCGGCGUGCUUAACACAUGCAAGUCGAGCGGUAAGGCCCUUCGGGGUACACGAGCGGCGAACGGGUGAGUAACACGUGGGUGACCUGUCUCUAGCUCUGGGAUAAGCCUGGGAAACUGGGUCUAAUACCGGAUAUGACUCCACGGCGCAUGUUGUGGGGUGGAAAGCCUUGUGUGGCUAGAGAUGGGCCCGCGGCCUAUCAGCUUGUUGGUGGGGGAUGGCCUACCAAGGCGACGACGGGUAGCCGGCCUGAGAGGGCGACCGGCCACACUGGGACUGAGACACGGCCCAGACUCCUACGGGAGGCAGCAGUGGGGAAUCUUGCGCAAUGGGCGAAAGCCUGACGCAGCGACGCCGCGUGAGGGAUGA